ACGGGGGAGUGGGGCCACCUGC
rnacentral:miRNA from 1 species